ACAGAUGUAACCCAUGUUAAAAUCUGACAUAAAUAGGAAUAAAUAGUUGGCUAAAAGUCUGUAGACAGAAAAUAACGUUGCUGUUCCUUUAAGGAACCAGCGUUACAGACGCGGCGCCUGGCUGCAGUACACAGAACUGAGGGAGAGAGCAGAGGAGGAAUCGGAGGGAAAGAGCAGUGAUUAAUUAACAGGAAAAGUUAAUAUUAUAGUAAAAAAAAGCAUAAUUUACCUGGUCGGGAACUGACGGGGAUUUUAUGAGAACUAAGUUACAUAGGUUUUGGUCAGGUUUUUUUGUCCGGUUGGAAGCUCGGUUGGAGCGAGGAUUGGUCUGCCAUGUGCGACGUGCACAUUCACAGACGGGAUUCAAGAUGGCGAGCUAGACCUAGUCCUUCAAUUCAUCUUCUCCAUUGCAUCAGGGAGGGACUCUCCCGCGUGUGGUAAUCCUCUGCCGGAGCAGUAGGAAUAUCAGGAACUAGUUCGAACUGAACUGAACAGAACUGAGAACCGAUUGAAUUAUUAUCUUUUGGACUGAAUAAAACUGAGACUUUUCACUGAACUGAGUACCUGGAUUUACAUUUGGACCUGAACUUGAAUUUAAAGUGCCAUACUUUGAUUUUCAUAUGUUUAUGUCUCUGAAUGUGAUUUGAGUAAUUGUGGUCCACUUUGAUUUAAUUGUGUUUGAAGGUAUUUCCCUACCUGUAAAAGAAAGAAAAAUGAGUUAACUCAGGAGAAAAAUAGAAAUCUUAAAAUAGGUGCAACCUAGGAAAAUGAGACCGGUCUAAUUAACUCAAAUUAGUCUGAUUAAAAUAACCUAGGUGAACUAAAGAACAAAAAUAAAGAGUGAUAUACUUUUUAUUUAUUUUUUUAUUUUUUUCCCUUUUCCUCCCCAUUUAUAUUUACAUCAUUAUUAAGAAUCUGCAGGGUAUUUUUGGUUUCAUGUACUGUAUUUUAUAUGUGUGUUUUGCAUUCAGUAAAUUGCCGGCCUUUUUCAC